UACGGAGGGGGCUAGCGUUGUUCGGAAUUACUGGGCGUAAAGCGCACGUAGGCGGCUUGGUAAGUUAGAGGUGAAAGCCUGGAGCUCAACUCCAGAAUUGCCUUUAAGACUGCCGAGCUAGCAGGUGAGAGAGGUGAGUGGAAUUCCGAGUGUAGAGGUGAAAUUCGUAGAUAUUCGGAAGAACACCAGUGGCGAAGGCGGCUCACUGGCUCAUACUGGACGCUGAGGCGCGAAAGCGUGGGGAGCAAACAGG
rnacentral:rRNA from 1 species